rnacentral:rRNA from 1 species
GCGCGAAAACUUUACAAUGCUGGCAACAGCGAUAAGGGAACCUCGAGUGCCAGGUUACAAAUCUGGCUGUCGAGAUGCCUAAAAAGCAUUUCAUAGCAAGGGCCGGGCAUGACCGGUGCCAGCCGCCACGGUAACACCGGCGGCUCGAGUGGUAACCGUUAUUAUUGGGUCUAAAGGGUCUGUAGCCGGCCGGAUAAGUCUCUUGAGAAAUCUGGCAGCUUAACUGUCAGGCUUUCAGGAGAUACUGUCUGGCUCGAGGCCGGGAGAGGUGAGAGGUACUUCAGGGGUAGGGGUGAAAUCUUGUAAUCCUUGAAGGACCACCAGUGGCGAAGGCGUCUCACCAGAACGGACCUGACGGCGAGGGACGAAAGCUAGGGGCACGAACCG